GAUGAACGCUAGCUACAGGCUUAACACAUGCAAGUCGAGGGGAAACGAUAUUGGAAGCUUGCUUCCGAUAGGCGUCGACCGGCGCACGGGUGAGUAACGCGUAUCCAACCUGCCCACCACUUGGGGAUAACCUUGCGAAAGUAAGACUAAUACCCAAUGACGUCUCUAGAAGGCAUCUGAAAGAGAUUAAAGAUUUAUCGGUGAUGGAUGGGGAUGCGUCUGAUUAGCUUGUUGGCGGGGUAACGGCCCACCAAGGCGACGAUCAGUAGGGGUUCUGAGAGGAAAGUCCCCCCACAUUGGAACUGAGACACGGUCCAAACUCCUACGGGAGGCAGCAGGUGAGGAAUAUUGGUCAAUGGGGCGGAAGCCUGAACCCAGCCAAGUAGCGUGCAGGACGACGGCCCUAUGGGUUGUAAACUGCUUUUAUGCGGGGAUAAAGUGGGCCACGCGUGGCCUUUUGCAGGUACCGCAAGAAUAA
rnacentral:rRNA from 1 species